rnacentral:rRNA from 1 species
UACCAGCACCCCGAGUGGUCGGGACGAUUAUUGGGCCUAAAGCAUCCGUAGCCGGUUCUACAAGUCUUCCGUUAAAUCCACCUGCUUAACAGAUGGGCUGCGGAGGAUACUAUAGAGCUAGGAGGCGGGAGAGGCAAGCGGUACUUAGUGGGUAGGGGUAAAAUCCGUUGAUCCAUUGAAGACCACCAGUGGCGAAGGCGGCUUGCCAGAACGCACUCGACGGUGAGGGAUGGAAAGCUGGGGGAGCAAACCGGG